ensembl:lncRNA
UAAAAGAAGAAUAUGUUUGUUUACAUCUCACUAAUAUGCCAAUGUUUAGGUAGUUAUGUUUACUCCUGUUUGCCACAGGUAAACUGGAUAGAACAUAAGACAGCUCAUUAUAGAGACAAGUAUGCCCCAUUCCCAAAGUUGGAUGACAGAACAAGUCAUGACCUUCUGUGGAGGAAAAUGAGAUCCCGAGUGAAGUCUACAAUGUCAUUGACUCUGAAGAAGGACUCAGAGACCCAUUGGUGUUUAAUGACCCUUACUGGCCUAUGCAAUGGGAACUGCUGUGGAGGAUGGUUGGUGGAGCAGCAUGGAAGUAUCAUGGAAUUCCGUAUGCCUGCAGCAGCAGGGAGGCAUUUCCGGGUAGGUCUCCAUCUGGAGAUCAUGCUUUUUACAACUAAAAGCCUUAAUGAUCUCUAUUCCUCUUUUCUCAUAUCACCAUCACCAAAAAGUAAAGAUGUGCAGGGCAAGUGGCAAGUAGAGGCCAAAGAGAAAGGAGCGGUUAUAGCUGGCAUUAAGCAAAAAUAAACUGAAGAGAAUGAGACCUCUGUAAUUUUCAGCACUGCAUUCACCUUGAUCUCUCCUGCCUGCCAUUUCAGUGACACUGACAGACCUUCUUUUAUCAUGUAGGACGUGACAGGUCCAAUUUUAGGUACUGACUGAAGGUUGUCCUCAAACAGGUCGCUACCUACUCUCAUAUUAAGUAGUGAUUGCAUGACCUUGGAUUGCAGCUCUUUCCUGUUUAUGGGGUUUAUUCUUACAGCGAUGACUCAGGUGGGUCUGUCAUUUGUGGAUAUUCCUCUCCACUCUACUCUUGAUUUCUUGUCCAUAUCCCUCAUUAUGGAGACAUCCAUAGCUUCUGGCAUCUGUUCCCCUCUUUGGUGGAUUGCAGAGCUGAUGAACCUGAUCUGACUCUUUGGUCUUUCUACUAAAGAAGUGAAACAGACAGGUUUAGCAGGUACAUAAAAGUAACAAUAGUGAGAACAAAAAGUUUUAAUUGGCCAAAAUUUAGUCAGAACUUUGAGCAAUUGCAAAACAAAAAACAAAAACAAACAAACAAACAAACAAAAAAACCAGAAAACAAAAAAAAAAAAACCAAAAAGCUCUGCAAUUUAUGUAAUACUUAACUACCCAGUAGAACCUAUUCAUGGGGACCAGACACAGCAAGGAAUAGAGAGAAUGAAUGAAAAACAAAGCAUAAGUAGAUUCUCCAGUCUAAUAUGGCAUUUCCCUUGACCUAUGAAGGUCCACAACAUGAGCAGCUGAAUCUCUGAAUCUCUGUGUAAAAAUCUCUGAUAAUUCUUUGAACAAUUUAUGUAAUACUUAACUACCCAGUAGAACCUAUUCAUGGGGACCAGACACAGCAAGGAAUAGAGCAAAUGAAUGAAAAACAAAGCAUAAGUAGAUUCUCCAGUCUAAUAUGGCAUUUCCCUUGACCUAUGAAGGUCCACAACAUGAGCAGCUGAAUCUCUGAAUCUCUGUGUAAAAAUCUCUGAUAAUUCUUUGAAGGUUAGGUGCCAAAUUGUAUUCACCCACAUCUCAUUUGGCAAACAGACCUGAUCACUGUUGUCCUUUUUCAUUCUCUCAUCACUGAUGGACUCUUCUCGUCCCAAUAAUUCCUUUGACACUCCAAGAAAUUCUACCCUGAAUAUGCUACUGUGGGUCAAGCAUUGCCUGUACCCCUGAUGAUUACUACUAUGAAUGGUUUACCUAGAGGGCAACAUCUAAGCAAAACAACAGAAUAAUAAACUAAAGAAAACAAAGGCA